rnacentral:rRNA from 1 species
GUGGGGAAUCUUCCGCAAUGGACGAAAGUCUGACGGAGCAACGCCGCGUGAGUGAAGAAGGUUUUCGGAUCGUAAAGCUCUUUCGUUAGGGACGAACGUGCUCUUUGUGAAUAAUGAGGAGUAAUGACGGUACCUAAAUAAGAAGCCACGGCUAACUACGUGCCAGCAGCCGCGGUAAUACGGAGGUGGCAAGCGUUGUCCGGAAUUAUUGGGCGUAACGCGCGCGCAGGCGGGAUAUCAAGUCUGUCUUAAAAGUGCGAGGCUCAACCUCGUGAGGGGACAGAAACUGGUAUUCUUGAGUGUCGGAGAGGAAAGUGGAAUUCCAAGUGUAGCGGUGAAAUGCGUAGAGAUUUGGAAGAACACCAGUGGCGAAGGCGACUUUCUGGACGAUGUCUGACGCUGAGGCGCGAAAGCUAGGGGAGCGAACGGGAUUAGAUACCCGUGUAGUCC